rnacentral:rRNA from 1 species
UACGGCGGGUGCAAGCGUGAAUCGGAAUUACUGGGCGUAAAGCGCACGCAGGCGGCUUUUUAAGUCGGAUGUGAAAGCCCCGGGCUCAACCUGGGAAUUGCAUUCGAUACUGGGAAGCUAGAGUAUGUGAGAGGGGGGUAGAAUUCCAAGUGUAGCGGUGAAAUGCGUAGAGAUUUGGAGGAAUACCAGUGGCGAAGGCGGCCCCCUGGCACACUACUGACGCGCAGGUGCGAAAGCGGGGGGAGAACACAGGAGGAGAUACCCGCGUAGUCC